CAAAUGGCCAGAACAAAAUAUUUUAUCAUUUGUGUGACUUUUUUUUUUUAAUAAAAAUAAAAUACAAAGGCUCGUGGCUGAAGAAAUAUUUUUUUAAUAAUCUGUAAAGAUCAACUCUCUGGAAAAAAAAAAUUAAAGGAGUAAACAGCUGAGAUUGAUGUCGGAUAGUUUGGUGUAACUGUACCAUAACGUCUUUCUCUCUCUCAAGGCAUUGUAAAUAAAAUUGGAUAUACAGGUAGGUAAAAAACCAUAUUUUUUAAUUUUUAAUUUUUUAUUUCUUUCUAGAGUAGGCUAUGUAGAGAAACAAUGAGGGAUUUAAUGUGAGUGAGAGGAACCUAUGAUAGAUAUCUGAAAAAUUGUGCUGUCAUAAAUUUAGCAUUGUCUGCCCUUCAGGAUGGGAUGAGAAAAAACAGAACUCAUAGCAAGAAAUUUGGGGGUAACAGUUGAGUCUUGUUCUUAAUAUUUUCAAAGCGUUUUGCAGCCUUCUAAAAAUCUGUUUCGGUUCUUUUUAAGUUACUGUUUUGAUUUAGGGGCUUUGUUCUUUAUAUUUAUGAAUAUUAUGCCUAACUUAUAGUUGAGAAAUGCUAUAAAUUUAUACUACAGUGUGUUGUAAUAUAAAUCAAUAUUACUUUUCUUUGUUGCGGAUUCUUUUAUUAGAUUGUAAAAAAUAUAUUAAAUGCUGUCAAAACAAUGUCAGAUGCUGUGGUGUAUCUGUAGGUGAAGACACUGAUCACUGUAUUCAGCAGAUCUGUGAUAAUGUUUCUUAAAGUAGUAUUAUGCAGAGCCCUAUUCAGAGAUGAACUGCAAAGAUGCCUUUUUAUUUGUCCCGAAGGAAGAGGAAAUAAUCAGGAAACUAAUGAGCUAUACAUUAUGUUUUUUCCAUUGUAAAAAUUAUUCAGGUGGUACAGACUAAUUGAACUGCAGUCAGACUAAGGUCAUAUGGAUGAAGUACUGAAUUACUUAGUAUAUUAUCACCCUCUUCCUCUCCCAUGCCAAAUCUGAAAUAUAUUGGUUUAGUUCAGUUCUUGUAAUCUUAAAAAAUAAAAAAUCCUGUAUUUUAGGUAUAUCCGCAUUUCGAAACAUAUUUUGAGUUUGCACAGCCUGCAUGGUGAGUGUAGUUUGUGUGUUCAUAGUGGGUUUUUCAUUUAGAUAAAUAGGUUUCAAUUAAAGUAUAAUUAAAAGUCAGCUGGUCUUUGUGUCAAACUGUUUUUGUUUAGCAGAGUUUUUUAGAUUAUGCUUAGUCUGCCUAGCUCAUUUUUAAUAAUCUGGAGUGUUGCGUUCAAUGGAAUUACUGCAUGGGAGGUGUUUUUCUGGUAUUUAUUUCUGUUUUUCAGUUAUUAAUCUGUUAAAUUGAUAGAUCUGCUGAAAACAUCAAAAACCCCCCAAAUUUGUUGCUCCUAUAUUGUAUUUCAAAAGAGUUUGUAUUUUGUAUAGAAGUAAUGCAUUAAUUAGGGUCCUUCAUAAUUUUACCAGUCAUUAUUGUAUGCUUCAGAGCAUGAAGUAUGAUUAUUCUCUUUGUAAGCUGUUUCAGCAAAAACUACUUUUAUAUCCUAUACCUAGAAUUCAUUACAGGAACGACAGGGAUUACAAACAUUGGUCAGGUAUAGGAUGAUUGAAAAACCGCAGACCCUUUGAAAUAUUGCAAAUAAAUUAUCUUAAUUAAUUUAGGAAUUCAACAAAUGCAGCAUAAACUAGUAUUUCCUUUUCUUUUAUUCUAAAUAGAUAGAUAAAGGGCCAAAUUCUCAGACCCCGGUUUUGUAAAUGCUUGCAGGCCUUACUAACACUUGCUAAUUCAGAAGUGCUUGAAGGAUCACUGUAGUUCCUUGCAUAAAACUCUUCCCAUAAAACUCUUCCCAGAAAAGUCGGUAGGAUUUUGCUCAAGUACCAAAUUCAAGUUUCUGUACAAAAUGAUUUCUUGUAUUGACCAUUGUGUUAAACAAGAGAAUUGCUACUUUCAACUUAAUUCAGUAGUUCAGUAUAAUUCAACUUCUCUUCAUUGGGCUAGUUAGAUGUUUUUUGUGUUUUAGGAAGAGAGGCACAGCAUGAACAACUAAUGUACACCACAUCUCUCUGUGGUACUCUUAGGAAUAUCUGUGCAGCACACUUAGUAUCUUGGAACUGUAUUUUUUAAAUGGGAUGCAGGUAAUUCAACAUUUUAGAGAAAUGGCUAUGAAUGCACUUGAGAAACUGAGCACAGAAACAAUAUUAAACAAUAUUAAACCUUUUCUUGGGCUUAUGUGCUUGACUUUGCAGAUACUGACUUUAAUCAGAUUACUUGCCUGCCUAAAUUUCAACAUGCAUCAUGGUGGCAUUACACAUUUUGGUGACAUCCCAAGAUCUAUUCAAUGUGUUUUAAUUGUGAAGCCAGAAGCCUAAUGCCAAGCAAAAUGAGAAACAUUUUGAAUCGGGAAGUUUGGAAUAGGAAACUUGAAAUUGAAUACUUCUGGCAUCUUGUACAAAAAUAUUAAUUCAAUCUUUUUAAGGAGGAGAAAGUAAAGAGGAAAAAUUUACCAGAUCUUGGUUGUGUGGACUAUUGUGUAAUCAUUCAACAGAGAAAUUAAAAAUUUGUACUUCAUGGAUAGAUAAAUUUAUUUAACAAAACUUUAUUUACCUGAGAGUAAUUUGCUUUUCACUAACUUACUAAGAAAUGUAAAUAAUUAUUUUAAUUGUUUUGGUGAAAAUAAAAUGUUACAUGGUAACAACCUAAAGGAGCAGUCUGCUAGCUUUAGUAAUGUAGAAUGAAAUUAUUUUUUUUUAAAAAUAUUUGCUUAUCUUUUUGGACAAGACUCUUAGGCUGGGACAUACAUUAUUUUGAUGGGUAGAGCAGUGCUCUGAAAUUACACUGAAGAAUAAAUUGGACUCUGAAACGUCUGUACAAGGACAAUGUGUAAACCCAAAGCAUGAGAGGUCCCCUGUACAACAUUUAGAAUUGUAUUCUGGAAUUUCCAUUCUUCAGAAUGGGUCUGUCUGCCUUGAUUUCAAUCAGCCUCAUCCCUGGACUAACUACUCCAUCCAGUAAACUUAGUGUACACUUGAGCACAGAGUGGUCAGAGAACAUUAAUGUUCUGUAAAUCACACGUUCUGGCUAAUGAGGCAUUCUGUGCUGAUGUGUCUCACUUGUGUUAGUAGUGAGACAGGGCAGUGAUGCAGUGAAUAAGCUUUGUGAGUCUAAUAAAGCAAUGAAAUGGGUGCUUUAGGCUGUACACUAGUUACUGGAGGAGGCUGCAUCAAGAAAUGAACCUUGACUCUCUCCCAAGGUCGUAUGCACCCUGAGUGCAGACCUCCAGAAUUUCUGGAGCAUGACUUAGACUCUGUGCAUGUGAUGAAGACUCUCAGGUUCCCCACAAAUAGUGUUACAAUGUCGGCAUCUUGGUAUUAUUUCUUGAAAGACACAUACUGAGGAAACAGUUCCAAUGUCUUCAAAUGCUUGCUAAAGGGAUUAGCAAUUUAUUUAAAAUGCAGGUGACUGUUGUGAAGAGGAAGAACAACUCUAAGUGUAUAGCUGUUAAUUCAAGAUUUUCUUAUCUGAAGAGCCACAUUUGUAUAGAAGGUCUUGUCUUUAGGUAUUUAAAGACUGAAAAGGGUGAGAAAUUAAAUAAACCCCAAAGGUAUGAUGUAUUCUUCUAAGCAAUGUCUUGAGCAGCUGAGAUGUGUUAUUAGUUUGUGUAAUAGUGGCAAGUUCUGGGGUCAAGCUAACCAUUAAAUCCCAGCAUAUUAACAUUUUUGAAAAAUGCCUAUUCUUAUUUUUCAACAAUUCUUUAACAUGCAAAUUUUAUAGCAUGGUUGUCUCUUGCAUAUCUGGGUUUCAGUUACUCUGCUGCAGUUGUAUGUAUUUGAUAACCAGCAUGCUUUUUGCCACUUUUCCAAACCACAGAGUCCUUAUGUUAAAAACACUGUCCAUGAUCUGGGGAUUUUUCUCUAGGAAAUGUGCCCAAGUUAUGGCAUAAAUUGAGCUCCUUAAACCAGUUGCUAAACUCCUUCAAACCUGUGCUUUAGUGCACUCCUGUGUGGCAGAUAGCACAGCUGAAACUAUAGGACAAGCCUAUAUACAACAGAGUAACUUUGCUUUACUUAGUUUAAAGCUCUAAAUGCCAGCAAAGCAACAUGAUGUACACAUGGCCAGUCCUGUUUUCCUGAGUGUUAGGGACUUCAUUAAAGCUUUUUCCAGCAGUGGGAAUUUUGCUGUGGGUUUCAGUAGGAGUAUAGCUGAAGAAGUAUUUAACCAAUUGGGAACAGAUGUAUGCUAGCUAUUACAUGAUAAUAUAAUUAAUUGAUAGUGAACUGUACUGAAAAUAGUAAUUAACUAAGACUUCACUAAUCUGUUCUUCAUUAUCAAUGUAUAUUUUAAUCUGCAUUAAAUAAAUGGUAUUGUCUUCCUAAAGCUCAGCAAAGACAAAACAGUAAGACUGUUAAUUGUGGGAAGGUUGUCCAGAGUACAUUGGGCAUCUGUGGAGACCUCUUUAAAUAGAGGACAAAUUAAUGGAAUAAGCUGUCCCAGCAGAAUGCUCUAAUACCUUCCCAUUUUACUGGGAAGCCCUCUGUUAAUUCAAAGUAUACUAUUGUAUUUUUACUAUCUGCUUCUGUCUAUUGAUUUUCCUUAACUGUAAUUGUAGUGGUUAAGAAGCUCCACACUUUAUCACCAGUCCUCUCUGCUAUUAGUCCAGUUAUUCAUGUACAGUCAGGUUGCAGAGGGUCUUGAUCACCACUGCAGGAUGGAAAGAUGAGAAUUCCCACUCUGGACCAAAUCAAGGGUCUCUUAAGUCUUCUGAGAGUAGCUUCCAACAAAGGUGUGGAAUAUCCUGCAAUGGUAAUUGAGAAGUAAAGGGCAUACAGGACAAGAUUUUUCUAAAAUAGUUGGAGCUGAGCUAAGAUCAAAGCAAAGGCUUAAUAAGUGUCUAGGGUCAUGAGAUUCCAGUGGAUUUUGAAAGUUUUUUGUUACAUGAAGUCUUUUGCUCUUAGUAUGUUUCUUUUUGAUACAUGUUCUCAUAUGUGAUCCAUUUCAAAUAUAAACACAGGUGUACAGAUGAUGACAAGAAGAAAUAAAACUAUUUCUUUGAAAUAUUAGUUAAUUAUAUUCAAAAUUCAGCAUUGCCUGAGUGAGAAGAUGUCUCUACUACCUCUUAUGCCUCUAAAUCUCAGUAAGGCUUCUCAGCAUUAGGCACUGUGAAUAAAUGUGUACAUGUAACUGGAGGAAAACAUAAUUAUUAACAGUGUUUAGCAUAGCAGGCUUUGCUGAUUAUGGAAUCACUCCUUUUGUUUGAAUUACAAGGCUUUAUGUAUGUUAUUUAUGUCUCUCUGGGCCAUUUUUCUGUGGUCCUGAGCUAUGGAGAGUUGGAGUAACCUGGGUACUUUCAGACACUUCACUGACAUCAUUCCAUCAACUAAUAUGUGUUACUGUAAGGUGUCUUUUGGAUAAAACCUUACACAACAGAAAGGACCAUGACUUGUGUAAGCCCACACACACAAUGAAGGAUUUGGUGUUUAUUUCUGAACUAAGUUUUCCUUGUGUCUCUCUGUAAACUUCAGUAUUUUGUUCACAGAAGUACUUUUGCCCAUUUGGCAUUUUAUGAAAUAUAAUAAUAAUAAUCUGUUUGCAUCUAUUAAUAAAUUGAAAAUUGUGUGUUGUUUUUGGCUCUUUUUUUGUUGUUGUUGUUUUUAAAUAGGAAUUUAAAAACUUCUCAGGUAAUUCUAGGAUAACUUAUGCAUUUUGAUGUUUUGUGGGGUUCUUGUACUCCUUGUAAAAAGCUUACUGCUGUUGUCAGGGAAGUCCUUAGCUUUUAGCCACUCUCCAGAAUUCCCCAUUUCCUUAUUACUUUUUUUCCAUUUUGGUAGUCACCAUGAAGUCCUCUUCUAUUUGCUUCUCUUGCUUUCUCUGUUAGUCCUGUCAGUGCCUUGAGAGAGUCAUCUUCCAACCCUUCAGCACUAAAGGUGAUUUCAUCUUACUGCAUAUUCAAAGGACAACACAAUAAAUUAUUAGGAGACUGUCUUGUUUUUGGAGAGGAUGUUUUGGCUUAGCCAUUGUUUGGAGUAUUUUAUGAGGAGCAGUGUUGUGGGGACAGAGAUGAAGUUAUAUUACCUUUCCCCUUUGGAUUAAGGCUGAUGCCAGUCUGCCAUGCUGCCUUUCCUUUAGAGCUAUGACCCUGAGCUAUUUUUCUGUUGGUUUCAACACUAAAAUACAGCAUAUCCCCCAAUGAAGCAUGUAGCAGACUGUCUUACAAGAACCUUAUCAGCCUCAGAAGAGGCACUGAUCCAAACUCAUGUACUUUUUGGGGAAAUGCUACAGAUACCUUCUUUUCUGCCUUGAGCUAUGCUUCAAAAUACAUUAAAAAAAUAAGUCUGUUCCAGCUGUUUUUAUGACUGGCCUAAUUUUGCUGGACAUUUCAGAGUCUUGCUGAGGACAUGCCUGUUUGACUUGAAUUCUGUUAUGUUUCUUUUAUUGAAGCAGCUUACUACACUGCCCAGGGUUUUAAGCACUCUCCCUUUGGAACUACAGGGAUGCACCCAUGGGAUUCUGGUGCUUUCAGUAAGGUGGCUAUUGAACAGGGUUUGGAAUUUGUUUUUUGGGGUUUUUUGUUUGGUUGGUUUUUGUUGUUUUUGUUUUGUUUGGAGUCACAGCUUUAGACUUAGAUGCUUAAAUCUGUCUGCAGUUAUAGUUUCUCUUUAAUCUGAAUGCACCUGGCCUAAACUUGCUUGAAAGUGUAACUGCAUAGUAUAGUCUUACCUUGAAUUAAUACACCCUUUGCCUUCUCUACUCCCCACAUCCACCUGCUGAAGACAAGACUACAAAAAGGCAAGGUUUAAUCAAAGUCUUGUUUGGAGUUAAUAUUUUGCACACGAGAGCCUUGUUUACACCGGGCUGUGUUCACAGAGGAGGAUACUUAGAGACCAAGCCCGUCCAUCUCUCCCCAGACGCAUUGCUGUUCCUUGGCAAGCUGUACAGGAGCAGGAGACACGAAGGUUACUGCACCUGAAGGUAACUGGCGAUGCACCCGCUGAGAAGUUCUGCCAGUUGGCCACCAGGUGGAAGCAGGGCUGCACUCGGGGAAUUGCAGGAAUUGCAGCUCCUCCAAAACAAAGCCUAACAAAGCCCCUGCCCACCCCAGCAGAGUCGGGAUAAAGGCACCCACCAGCCUCGCAUGAGGAGUGAGCUGCACCAGCACACUGACGGCGCAGGCAGUGUCACCACCUGGCUGGUCAGCCCUUACCGUAACCAUCAGGAACAAUACUCAGGGGGUGUUUAUCUCCCACCAUCCCAGCUCUUCAUCACCACUUUUUCAUCAUUCUCUAACCUGAGGUUGCAGCUUCAGGACCAGCCAGUGGCAGCACUGACUGUAAACUUUUUCUCUUAAAUAAACAGAGGUAAAUUGUG